rnacentral:rRNA from 1 species
UACGGAGGGGGUUAGCGUUGUUCGGAAUUACUGGGCGUAAAGCGCACGUAGGCGGAUAUUUAAGUUAGAGGUGAAAUCCCAGGGCUCAACCCUGGAACUGCCUUUAAUACUGGAUGUCUUGAGUUCGAGAGAGGUAAGUGGAAUUCCGAGUGUAGAGGUGAAAUUCGUAGAUAUUUGGAGGAACACCAGUGGCGAAGGCGGCUUACUGGCUCGAUACUGACGCUGAGGUGCGAAAGCGUGGGGAGCAAACAGG